AUGCGGCAAUAUGGACAGACAAUUAAGGGCAGUUUGAAACAUAAAUCCAUCUUUGAUGAGAAGAUAAGAGAGCAAAUCAAGAAAUACAGGCACCAUUUUAUAAGAUUUUUGUCAUAACAACAAAAAGGCUCAGCGGUACCUUCUUCAUGGUUUGGAAUGUGUGGUGGCGAUGCAUCAAGCCCAGCUGAUCUCCAAGAUUCCUCAUAUCUUAAAGGAGAUGUAUGAUGCAGACCUACUAGAAGAGGAGGUCAUUAUCAGCUGGUCAGAAAAGGCCUCUAAGAAAUAUGUCUCAAAAGAACUUGCCAAAGAGGUUCGUGUCAAAGCAGAGCCAUUUAUUAAAUGGUUGAAGGAAGCAGAGGAAGAAUCUUCCAGUGGUGAGGAAGAAGACGAAGAUGAAAAUAUUGAGGUGGUAUAUUCGAAGACUGCCAGUGUACCAAAAGAUGAAACUGUGAAGUCUGACAACAAGGAUGAUGACAUUGAUAUUGACGCCAUUUAAAAGGAUGGAUGCAACUUAGCUUAACAGUGUAAUGCUGCAAAUUUUUCUCCAUUAUCAGCCAGAAGUGCGACAUGUAUGUGCAAGAGCUAAAGUGGCUUAACAUCAUGCUACACUUGAUACUAAAAAGCUAUUACUGUGAGUGGUCUAUAAUUAAGCCCAGUGAGACAUCUAGGAAGUCCAUACAUAUCAGUGAGCAGUUGUAGUUUGCUUAUUUAUAGCAUGUUUCUUUCAGAAAAACUAGUGGUGGACACAUUUGGAUCACAUUUAUACAGUUAUAAAAAAAUAAAGAUUUGAUUUUGGUCAUUCUUCAGA